rnacentral:rRNA from 1 species
UCAAGCUACAAAGAGCACAAGGGGAAUGCCUUGGCACCGAGAGCCGAAGAAGGACGUGACUAACUGCGAUAAGCUGCGGGGAGCCGUAAGUAGGCUUUGAUCCGCAGAUUUCCGAAUGGAGCAAUCCGGCAAGAGGAAAGUCUUGUCAUCAUAUACUGAAUACAUAGGUAUAUGAGGGGAACCGCCUGAACUGAAACAUCUAAGUAGGGCGAGGAAGAGAAAUCAACUGAGAUUCCGUAAGUAGUGGCGAGCGAACGCGGAAGAGGCCAAACCGAGAGUAGUAAUACUUUCGGGGUUCGGACAGAAUACGGUAUUGUAAAGGUUUAGUGGAAUGGAAUGGGAAGUCCAACCGAAGAAGGUGAGAGUCCUGUACACGAAAAGCCUGAGCAGCCAUCUGUAUCCAGAGUACCGCCGGACACGUGAAACCCGGUGGGAAUACGGGGGGACCAUCCUCCAAGCCUAAAUACUACUCGGUGACCGAUAGUGAAGAAGUACUGUGAAGGAAAGGUGAAAAGUACCCCUGACGGGGAGUGAAAAAGAACCUGAAACCUUGUGUUUACAAGCACCGAAAGCUCAUCAAAGAGCGAUCGGGUACCUUUUGUAGAAUGGUCCGGCGAGUGAAUGUAACCGGCGAGGUUAAGCACUUAAGGUGUGAAGCCGCAGCGAGAGCAAGUCUGAAUAGGGCGUAUGAAGUCGGUUGUAUUCGACCCGAAACCGGGUGACCUACCCAUGGUCAGGUUGAAGUAAAGGUAAAACUUUAUGGAGGACCGAACCGACUCCCGUUGAAAUGGUAGCGGAUGAACUGUGGGUAGCGGAGAAAUUCCAAUCGAACCCGGAGAUAGCUGGUUCUCUCCGAAAUAGCUUUAGGGCUAGCCUUGAAAUAGAUUACCGGAGGUAAAGCACUGAAUUGGCUAGGGGCCGAGAGGUUACUGAACCUUAUCAAACUAAGAAUGCCGGAUAAUCGUUUUUCAGGAGUCAGACAGUGGGAGAUAAGUUUCAUUGUCAAAAGGGAAACAGCCCAGACCCACAGCUAAGGUCCCCAAGUAUAGUUAAGUGGAAAAGGAUGUGGAAUUGCACAGACAACCAGGAUGUUGGCUUAGAAGCAGCCACUCAUUAAAAGAGUGCGUAAUAGCUCACUGGUCGAGUGACUCUGCGCCGAAAAUUUAACGGGGCUAAACUAUACACCGAAGCUUGGGAUACAUCUAAUGUAUGGUAGGAGAGCGUUCUGUAUGGGGUGAAGUCGUAGCGAAAGCGGCGGUGGACUGUACAGAAGUGAGAAUGCCGGAAUAAGUAGCGAGAAUUAAGUGAGAAUCUUAAUGGCCGAAAGUCUAAGGUUUUUGGAGGAAGGUUCGUCCGCUCCAAGUAAGUCGGGAGCUAAGGUCAGGCCGAAAGGCGUAGCCGAUGCACAUACGGUUGAUAUUCCGUAACCAUCUGUAAUUUAAGCAAAGGGACACUUUAAAAGGGUGUGACCCGGGCGUUGGUUGACCCGGGCGUAAGGGACCGAAAUUAGAGUAGGGAAGCACACUUGGCUGAAGGCGAGAAAAGCUUUGCGUAUAGAAACAGAUGCCCGUACCGCAAACCGACACAGGUGGACAGGAAGAGAAUUCUAAGGCCAGCGGGAGAAGGGUAGUUAAGGAACUCGGCAAAUUGACUCCGUAACUUCGGAAUAAGGAGUGCUCGAAAGAGCCGCAGAGAAUAGGCCCAGGCGACUGUUUAGCAAAAACACAGGUCUCUGCCAAAUCGAAAGAUGAAGUAUAGGGGCUGACACCUGCCCGGUGCCGGAAGGUUAAGAGGAGGAGUGAGAGCUCUAACGGUCCUAAGGUAGCGAAAUUCCUUGUCGGGUAAGUUCCGACCCGCACGAAUGGUGUAA